CUUCAGAGUACUUAACUUUUUCUGGUCCACCGUAAGCAAUGUUAAACCAAACAAAUUAAUGCUUAAACAUGCCUUAGAUUUCUGUGUCCUGAACUUCUUGUUUUCAUUUCUUCCAGGCAAGUCUUUGUGUCUCCCUCUCUGGAGACUCCUAUGUUAAGGCUAUGAAUCUGAUUAGAUUCCAAAAUGUAAGAGCAAGACAUCUCGUUCUUGUCCAUACUCUUGAAAAUGUUAUCCUAAUCUCUCAAGAACAUUAAGGACAUUAAGGCUAUGAAGAGAUGGAGAACAAUUGAAGUUCCAUUACAAGCCAAUUUCUUUUCUGGAGUUCAACCCAGGAAUCCAUCUUCCCUAUCAUCUGCUGUUAUUCGUAGUCUAGAGAGUAACCCUUCUUCCUCCCUCCUACCCCAGCA
rnacentral:lncRNA from 1 species